AGCUCGCCGCGUCCCGGCGCUCAGCCUCCGUGCCAGAGGCGAGCGCUGCGCUCCAGGCGCCGCAAUCCAGAGGACACGGCCUCUCCGACACCUCCAGCCGCGGAGAGUCGGUAGCAUCAUCGGCGGGAGCGGUCGCAGCCUCCUCGGCUCCUCUCUCGAGUCCUUCCCAUCACCUCGCUGAGACCCUGUCCUGGCCGCGGGGACACCCCUUUUUGUCCUGCCCCCAAGGCUCGUGGGACCGACGGACGGACGCAGGGAUCCAGGGCCGGACUGCGGGCAGCGGCAAGCACCUUGUGAAUGGUGCUCUGGAGCACUUUCCGUGAUUACUACUCAUACCUCUUCCUGGGACACUGUUGAAAAGACCAGCAAACAUCCGGUUUUCUCAGAUAUAAUCUCAGAUUAAUGGAGUUGUGGAACAGAUUAAACUCGUCUCACUAAAAUCAGAACAGCUGAGCAUCACAUACCAAGAGUGACAGCCAGUUUAAAAAAAAAAAGACCUGCAAAGUUUGGAUCUUUUC